rnacentral:rRNA from 1 species
ACGGGAGGCAGCAGUGGGGAAUAUUGCACAAUGGGCGAAAGCCUGAUGCAGCAACGCCGCGUGAGGGAAGACGGUUUUCGGAUUGUAAACCUUUGUCCUUGGUGAAGAUAAUGACGGUAGCCGAGGAGGAAGCCACGGCUAACUACGUGCCAGCAGCCGCGGUAAUACGUAGGUGGCAAGCGUUGUCCGGAAUUACUGGGUGUAAAGGGAGCGCAGGCGGGAGAGCAAGUCAGUGGUGAAAUGCAUGAGCUUAACUCAUGAACUGCCAUUGAAACUGUUUUUCUUGAGUGGAUCAGAGGCAAGCGGAAUUCCGAGUGUAGCGGUGAAAUGCGUAGAUAUUCGGAGGAACACCAGUGGCGAAGGCGGCUUACUGGACUGUAACUGACGUUGAGGCUCGAAAGCGUGGGGAGCAAACAGGAUUAGAUACCCUGGUA